CCUAUUGUAAUUGUUUAAGGGUUAAUUGACAUCAUACUCGAAAUCCAAAAGUAAUCGAUUAACAGUUUCAGAAUAAAGAUCCCAAUUAACGAGACGUAGGUUUAUACGAUUUAACAAAAGUUUAUUAACUUCAUCUAUAGGAGCAUGUUGUUCACCUGACGGAGUUGAUGAAGAGUUCUUUGUGUUUAUUUUAGUAAAAGUCGGCAGAUGCUGCAACGCUCAGAAUUCUUACAGAAUUUAGCUAAAUGUCCAUACCUCAAGCACCGGUAGCAUUGUUUAACUGGUGGUAUAUAUGGAGUGACAUUGUGGCGCCAACCUCCAAUAUCCAGAUAUUCAGGUAAUACAGAUGCAGCAAAAGUAAUUGUCACGGUUAGAGUUGGCUGUAACACAUAUCCAUGAGUCAAGAUUCUGAGUCAGUAGAAGUAUCUUCCGAAUAUAUAUCCUUGUCAUUACAAGGUUCUUGGUCUACAUCACCUGAAUCGUCAUCUUUUUUUUUCCUUUUUCUACAACUGCGCUUCCCCAUGAAUGCUAAUUAUAUUACUGUCGCUGAAUUUAGUGAAAAUAUAAUAUUUUAUUCAAUAAUAAGAAUUGAUAGAGAUAGUUUUAAUAAAUUAAUAAAAAAAAUUUAAAAAA